UACCUGGUUGAUCCUGCCAGUAGUCAUUUUCUUGUCUCAAAGAUUAAGCCAUGCAUGUGUAAGUAUGAACAAAUUCAGACUGUGAAACUGCGAAUGGCUCAUUAAAUCAGUUAUAGUUUGUUUGAUGGCAUUUGCUACUCGGAUAACAGUAGUAAUUCUAGAGCUAAUAGUUGCAACAAACCCCGACUUCUGGAAAGGAUGCAUUUAUUAGAUAAAAGGUCGAUGCGGGCUUUCCCGUUACUGUUAAAAAGCUCGUAGUUGGACUUAGGGGUGGGUCAGCCGGUCCGCCUCACGGUGAGCACCGGUCUGCUCGUCCCUACUGCCGGUGAUGGGCUCCUGGCCUUAAUUGGCUGGGUUGUUCCUUAGGCGCUGUUACUUUGAAGAAAUUAGAGUGCUCAAAGCAGGCCUACGCUUGUAUACAUUAGUACGGGAUAACAUCAUAGGAUUUCGAUCCUAUUGUGUUGGCCUUCGAGAUCGAAGUAAUGAUUAACAAAAACAGUCGGGGGCAUUCGUAUUUCAUAGUCAGAGGUGAAAUUCUUGGAUUUAUGAAAGAUGAACAACUGCGAAAGCAUUUACCAAGGAUGUUUUCAUUAAUCAAUAACGAAAGUUGGGGGCUCGAAGACGAUCAUAUACCGUCCUAGUCUCAACCAUAAACGAUGCCGACCAGGGAUCGGCGAAUGUUGCUUUUAGGACUCCGCCGGCACCUUAUGAGAAAUCAAAGUCUUUGGGUUCCGGAGGGUGUAUGGUCGCAAGGCUGAAACUUAAAGGAAUUGACAGAAGGGCACCACCAGGAGUGGAGCCUGCGGCUUAAUUUGACUCAACACGGGGAAACUUACCAGGUCCAGACAUAGUAAGGAUUGACAGACUGAAAGCUCUUUCUUGAUUCUAUGGGUGGUGGUGCAUGGUCAUUCUUAGUUGGUGGAGCGAUUUGUCUGGUUAAUUCCGUUAAUGAACGAGACCUUAGCCUGCUAACUAGCUACACGGAGGUGAUCCUCCGUGGCUAGCUUCUUAGAGGGACUAUGGCCUUUUAGGCCAUGGAAGUUUGAGGCAAUAACAGGUUUGUGAUGCCCUUAGAUGUUCUGGGCUACACGCGCGCUACACUGAUGUAUUCAACGAGUCUAUAGCCUUGGCCGAUAGGCCCGGAUAAUCUUUGAAAUUUCAUCGUGAUGGGGAUAGAUUAUUGUAAUUGUUGGUCUUCAACGAGGAAUUCCUAGUAAGCGCGAGUCAUCAGCUCGCGUUGACUACGUCCCUGCCCUUUGUACACACCGCCCAUCGCUCUUACCGAUUGAAUGGUUUGGUAAAGUGUCCAGAUUGCAGCGACGUGGGCGGUUUGCUGUCUGCGACGUCGCGAGAAGUCCAUUGAACCUUAUCAUUUAGAGGAAGGAGAAGUCGUAACAAGGUUUCCGUAAGUGAACCUGCGGAAGGAUCAUUA
rfam:Gossypium hirsutum cultivar TM-1 chromosome 2, whole genome shotgun sequence